UUUUCUCUCUCUCCAUGGCGGAUGUUCAUCAUGGAGGAGCACAAGGCAUCAAGCUAUUUGGCACAACAAUUGCAGUACAAAUCAAACAACACAAAAUGAUCAUCCAAACAAAGCUGAUGAUCAUCAUCAUCCUGAUCAAACAAUAGCAGACAAGAGACCAGACAAGAUCAUACCAUGUCCUAGGUGCAAAUCCAUGGAGAACAGAGGGAGUGCUAGGUUGGCAAAUGUGUUGCGAUAGUCCUCUACUUUGUGUCCUCCAUCUUGAACCCUCUCUCUCUCUCUUCUAAACAACCCUUGUCCUGUACAUACAAUACAAUACACGACAUCUAUCUGUAUAUGUUCAUCUCUGCGACACCACGCACGAAAAGACCGAGUUUUGGAAUCCAAACGCGACGAACAUGAAAUUCUGGAAGCAUCUCUGCGAACUCAUCGAUCAAACCUUUCCUGAAUGACGAGACAAGUUCUUGACCUACAAGGAUCUCAAGAAGCAGUUGCGUCUGAUCUACCCCAAAGAUGGCGAGACUAGUUGUACUCCUAGUAGCGUCGUUAAACGCCGCAAAUUGACCGACGACGGCGGAGCGGAGUGGCGGCCUUCGCUCUGUUCGAUCUCCGAGGACGCCGUGACGCCGGAGAGAGACCACCGGACUCUCAAUGACUCUGAAAGGUUGGUAAAGAGGAAGGUCAGAUCCACCGCCACCGCCAGAGUUCACGUCCGGAGCUACAGCGGCGAUUUGGGGCGGAGUGGGUUUCCGGUGAUGCCAGCUUUCUCUCCAGCUCCAUUCUUUUUCUGAUAGAAGAGAUCCAAUGGGCUUUCUUCUUUCUUCUGUUAUUGUAUUUGAUAUGUAUAUGUGUGUAUGUGUGUAUAUUAUAGUGAAUAAUGAGUAUUGUAUAUUUUGGUAAAUAAGUAAAUGUAAUUAAUCCCUCGACCUUUGUUGUUGACAAUAGAGAAUUGUUCAUAUAAGUGAGAUCUAGGUCUGGACUUUAAUGAAUGAGAUCUUCGUUUUUCUUUUCUUUUUAAAGUUAAA